rnacentral:rRNA from 1 species
GAGUUUGAUCCUGGCUCAGGAUGAACGCUGGCGGCGUGCCUAACACAUGCAAGUCGAACGAAGCGAUUUAACGGAAGUUUUCGGAUGGAAGUUGGAUUGACUGAGUGGCGGACGGGUGAGUAACGCGUGGGUAACCUGCCUUGUACUGGGGGACAACAGUUAGAAAUGACUGCUAAUACCGCAUAAGCGCACAGUAUCGCAUGAUACAGUGCGAAAAACUCCGGUGGUACAAGAUGGACCCGCGUCUGAUUAGCUAGUUGGUAAGGUAACGGCUUACCAAGGCGACGAUCAGUAGCCGACCUGAGAGGGUGACCGGCCACAUUGGGACUGAGACACGGCCCAAACUCCUACGGGAGGCAGCGGUGGGGAAUAUUGCACAAUGGGCGAAAGCCUGAUGCAGCGACGCCGCGUGAGUGAAGAAGUAUUUCGGUAUGUAAAGCUCUAUCAGCAGGGAAGAAAAUGACGGUACCUGACUAAG